rnacentral:misc_RNA from 1 species
UACGGAGGGUGCGAGCGUUAUCCGGAAUCACUGGGCGUAAAGGGCGCGUAGGCGGUUUGUUAAGUCUAUUGUUAAAGACUGGGGCUCAACCCCGGCACGGCAGUGGGUACUGGCAGGCUUGACGGUUGGAGAGGCGAGUGGAAUUACCAGUGUAGCGGUGGAAUGCGUAGAUACUGGUAGGAGCACCCAUUGCGAAGGCAGCUCGCUGGACAACUCGUGACGCUGAGGCGCGAAAGCUAGGGUAGCGUACGGG